rnacentral:rRNA from 1 species
GGGGUGCACGGCGCGAAAACUUUACAAUGCGGGAAACCGUGAUAAGGGGACACCGAGUGCCAGCAUCAUAUGCUGGCUGUCCAGGUGUGUAAACUACACCUGUUAGCAAGGGCCGGGCAAGACCGGUGCCAGCCGCCGCGGUAACACCGGCGGCCCGAGUGGUGAUCGUGAUUAUUGGGUCUAAAGGGUCCGUAGCCGGUUUGGUCAGUCUUCCGGGAAAUCUGACGGCUCAACCGUUAGGCUUUCGGGGGAUACUGCCAGGCUUGGAACCGGGAGAGGUAAGAGGUACUACAGGGGUAGGAGUGAAAUCUUGUAAUCCCUGUGGGACCACCUGUGGCGAAGGCGUCUUACCAGAACGGGUUCGACGGUGAGGGACGAAAGCUGGGGGCACGAACCGGAUUAGAUACCCGGGUAGUCCCAGCCGUAAACGAUGCUCGCUAGGUGUCAGGCAUGGCGCGACCGUGUCUGGUGCCGCAGGGAAGCCGUGAAGCGAGCCACCUGGGAAGUACGGCCGCAAGGCUGAAACUUAAAGGAAUUGGCGGGGGAGCAC